AGGCAGCGGACCCCUAUCGAUAUGCAUUCGGAGGCGAUGGCACGGGCUGGGUAUCAACUUGAAUGAACCCGAGCAAUUCGUGACAUUGCUCGAAUCGUUGGGAAUCGAACUCAUUUGCACGUCGGCGGGCAGCCCCUAUUACAACCCGCACAUGAUGCGGCCCGCCGCUUUUCCGCCUUCGGACGGCUACCACCCCCUGAGGAUCCGCUUGUCGGCUGCGCCCGCCAGAUCAAUACGACGGCGCGCCUGAAGGCCAAUCAUCCAAAUUGCUGUUCGUCGGUAGCGGCUACACGUACCUGCAGGAGUGGCUGCCGCACGUCGGUCAGCGCAUGGUUUGCGAUGGCCAUGUCGAUUGCGUCGGUCUCGGACGGAUGGUGCUCGCCUAUCCGGACCUUCCCGCCGACGUACUUGCAGGAAGACCACUCGAACGCAAGCGCUUUUGCCGCACGUUCAGCGAUUGCACGACCGCCCGCGAAAUGGCAUCGUCUCAGGCUGUUAUCCGCUCGAUCCGUUCUACAAGGCGAUGCCGGAACGCAUCGAAUUAGAAGCGAUCAAGAAGAAGUAGAACAAGUUUCCAAUUUGUUCGAUUCAUUGAACAAGUUGGAAACUUGUUCUAUUGGCGCGGUGCAUAGCGCCACACCAGCGCUCCGAGAAUCAGCGCUCCUCCAAUCCACGUUGCGUUUGUUGGCGUGUCCGUCUCCGGUGAAAUCAAGUAGGUCCACAGGGGAUUGAGCAGCGGUUCGAGCAGGACUAUCAUGCCUGCUUCCUGGGGGCUCACGUGCUUCAAGCCACGGGCAAAGAGUGCAUAGGGAAGCGCCAUUUGCACCGCUCCGAAGAACGCCAGAAACACGAUUUGCCGUGCGCUGGGUGUACAAGUCCAGUCCCACCAGAACGCGGGUCCGUGAAUUACCAGGAUCGCGGUACCUAAACACAGUGCGGUGCCGAGGUGAUUCUGAGUGCGUGAGCCACAUCGACGAAUGCCCCUUCAAUUCUCGCAGGCACAGGAUCACGCCUCCGUACAUCAUGCUGCUGCCGAUCGCCAUCGCGGUAAUCGCGACUUGAUCGCCGCCUAACCCCUGCCCCGCGAUGCCGUGUCCGACAAUGACGCCGACGCCCGCCAUGCCGAUAAUAAGCGAUUGCAAUGUGCGCCGAUCGUGCCGUUCGCCCAGAAUAUAAACGCACACGAGAUACACCCACAAAGGCGCGGUGUUUUGCAGCAGGAUCGCAUUCGCCGCCGGACCGAGCACCAUAGCUGAGACGAAUAGGGCAUUCAUGGCCGCGAAGAAGGCGACCAUAAGCAACAUGACCGGUCGAAACGUCAGAUCGCGAGUCCGUAGCAAGGGAAGGAAUACGAGGCCCGCGAAAAAAGCUCGAUAAAAGGCGAUCUGAAGGGACGACAGGACCGGCGUAUGUAAGCCGAG
rnacentral:misc_RNA from 1 species